GAGGUGAGCCAACACUCGCGGGUGAUCAAGACAACAGACAAGAGGUGCUCCUUCCCUUCCUCCCUCGAUCUAACCACAAUACCCCACUACCAGUCACUCAGUUGGUGGUCUUCUCGUCGUGUUGAUACUUACGCGUGCAGCCUGUCUGUUCCUCUGUCUACUGAUUGUCUCAAUACAUCUAGCAGUGGGAGGAGGAAGUUGUGUUAUCCAUCUGAGAGGAAACUAACCGGACGUCAACUUUACAUUAACAUUGAUAUUUAAGUGUUGAUAAACUUAAUACAUAAAAAACAUGCACCGCACGAUAUGUUGUUUAGUGGUGGUGAUGGUGCUGGCCCUGGGCGUGUUGGUGGAGGGCGCGCCAUCCACCCAGAGAGACGGGGGCGUGGCAGCGUUCACCAGGAGCCUCUACGGGAACGGUCUUGAACGUAGGACGAACAACUUGUGCUCCGAUGAUGCCCACCAGCAGUACAUGUGUGAGAUGUGUGCCAAAGAGACCAAGUCCCUUCAGGUGUACACACUCUGCUGUAACGGUGCUGACGAUGCCCAGACCUGGUGCCAGAGCUUCCUCGUGUACGGCAUCAACAGCGUCUGAAGCCUCAUCACUCAGAAACCUUCAGCAGGAUUACUUGACAGACAUACAUCCACCAACCUACCCAGCCAGUCUGCCUCUUGAACCUCCUAUCUACAUCUUCAACUGAAACCUCUUCUAAAUAAUGUCUUAAGGCCAAGGUUUCCUCCUUCUCUCACAAAAAAGAAUCCCUGAGUAAAACUUUCUUCUGUUUAUGUCGACACCUGUUAAAAAACUCCUUUGAUAUACUAAUACUUUUCCACAUUAAACCCGAAACGUUAGGUAACACUAAGACAAUAACUCUGAAAUAUUUGUUGGACUUAAACCAGUUUAAAAACAACAUCUUCUAAAAACCCGUAAUUUUCAUAUUAAUCAAAUUGGUCUUCACAGGAGUUGCAAAACACGAAUUGAAAUUUUGCAAAUAUUUCUUCUUCUUUUUCUUCAGUCUCACUCUUAUGAUGAAACCAAGAAACUAAUACCUAACCAAACUCUUUCUUUACAAUACUUGGCGAUAUUUUUCUCACCUAUCAGAGCUGGUUCAACUUUUCAUCGUGAUAUUUGUUAACUUUACACGACUGGCUAAGCGGAUCAUCAUUGCUUAAGUUUCAUUACUUCUCACGACAAAUUUCCUUUCUUUUUUUGGUUUGGAACUUUUAUUUAAUGUUGUUUCGCGAUUUUUGGAGGUUGAAUGCAAAAGACAUCUGAGUUUACCAGCGGCAGCAGAGAGACGAGGUGAGAUAGAGUUCUCUCAGCUGCCUCAGACACAUCUCAGGAGGUCCUUGUACUGUCACCUCAGCCUCUCCUAUAUAUACAGAACUAUACAUGGGAUUAAUAUGAUAGAUGGAGAGAUAAAGUUUAUGUCAUCUCUGUUUAAGUUGUUUCGUUUCGUCUCAUUUGUAAUUUUUCUGUCUGAGUUGAUAUUAAGUUACAUGGAUAAGUUAGUGAGGUAUUCUCCUUCAUAAAUCAUCUUCAGAAAAAAACUUUUCCUGAGAGAUGAGAAACGUGAGGAUAGAUAACAUGGGUGAGAGACAUAAUAAAUACACACACUCCCAAAAAUAUCUAUACGGUGGUGAUCGAUAAAUUUCAGAAUGAACACUACGACUCCUGUUGUCUCUGUUGGGUUGUCAAAAUCCCUCGUCCGUUGUGUCAUCUUACACAAAAUCGUAGAUACUUUUUUGUAGCGAUACAAAACGUUUCUUACUUAAGCAUAGAAGCUGAGGGAUAAAUAUGUAUUAAUAAAUGUUAUAUAUUACAAAUAGUGACAAUCAGUGAGUUAGUACGGUAUAGCGCAUCUGGGUGACGGGUUAAGGCGGUGCGUGACCUGUAGACUACGUUAUCCAGAGGUGGACAAGAGAGACACCUGUACAGAGACAAAUGGAGCGAUGGUAGAGUAAUUCAUUACGACGAGAUAUGUUAAACGACGAGUUACAGUGUUUGUAAUAAUUAGUGAGUCUCCGAUAAGCCGAAAUCUGAAUAAAUUGUGACAUGUUUUCGUCAUUUCGACACCGCCGACUCCACCUUGUGACACACGCUGUAAGGUAUAAAUAUGUUACGAGCUUAAGAUUACUUUUACUUCAUCAAGGCGGCUCGUGGAUGGUUGUCCCCCUCGGCAGCUUAUCCUCAACAAACAGCUUGCACCUUCAGCUGUUUCUUGAGGCUCUACUGCUAGUUGAACCACCAGGGGAAGACUCGUAUUUGUUGAGGAGUCCCACAACGGAUGUAUCGUAUCUACUGCUUUUGUUCUUUUAUAUUUUCCCGGUAAAUCAUUUCCUUUUGAAAUUAUUGUGUUUUUAGAUUUAAGUUAAACUGAUUAUAUUUUUGGACAUGUGAUACUGAAGGUUAAUUUGGAAUUAGUUUUACAUAUUGGCAAAAGUUGCUUAAAAGUGAUGAUUGAGCAACACUGGUGACGAGGGUCGGUACUCCUGCUAGGUGGUCUCCUGGAGCUGGGAACUGGAUAUAUUUUUAGAGAGACUGUAGUCCCUAUACCUGUGUGUGGCUCCACUCACCUGACUGAUAAUCAUAAUAAACCCUGUUUGUGUUCCCACGUAUGGCAGAGAUGUUUGUGUAGUGUUUUAAAAUAGUUAAAAAAAACAAUAUAAUUGUUACCCAAAAUGUUUACUGCAAAGUAUUUUUAUUUAUAUAUUUGUGUCGAUAAACGGCAUUGAUCAGAUAGCCAGGAGUCACAAGCAUAUGAAAGUGUUCCUAGAGGUACUAGGAGGAGCUGUGAGGUCAAAGGUUCGUGACCUGUGUGGCUGGUAGUUCCCCUCUGACCUCCAGAACCACGCCCACCUCACCCACAGUGUUGCUGAUGGGCGUGUGUCUGUAUAAACGCUAACACACGCCUAUAUUCCACGUAUUCUUAGUAAUCUCUGUAACAGUUAUGUUUUUCCUUCAUUUUUGCUCUAAGUUGAUGUACAAAUUAGAUUUCUAUACUUAACAUAUGUCCUUAUAAAACUAUUUAUUUGAGUUUGUAUUUAUUGCGCCAGUUGGGCAGAGUCUAGGGCGCUGUAUAAUGCCGUGAAUAAAUACAGAAGCUGAAUUUAUAUCAUAGCAUUUAUUAAUAAAAAAUUAUGUCGA